UUGCCUGAUGCAGUCAGUGUUCUGCUUUCCUAUGAAUGUGAGUAUGUACAUAGCACGCUGUGGAUAUUGAGUGAAGUUUUUUAGGGCUGCUGAGCUUUUGGCUGAGUUUAUGUGGCAGCAGAUUUCUUUCAUAUAA
ensembl:snoRNA